CCUACGGGUGGCAGCAGUGAGGAAUAUUGGUCAAUGGCCGAGAGGCUGAACCAGCCAAGUCGCGUGAGGGAAGACGGCCCUACGGGUUGUAAACCUCUUUUGUCGGGGAGCAAAGCGAACCACGUGUGGUUCAUUGAGAGUACCCGAAGAAAAAGCAUCGGCUAACUCCGUGCCAGCAGCCGCGGUAAUACGGAGGAUGCGAGCGUUAUCCGGAUUUAUUGGGUUUAAAGGGUGCGCAGGCGGAAUGUCAAGUCAGCGGUAAAAUUUCGGGGCUCAACCCCGUCGUGCCGUUGAAACUGGCGUUCUUGAGUGAGCGAGAAGUAUGCGGAAUGCGUGGUGUAGCGGUGAAAUGCAUAGAUAUCACGCAGAACUCCGAUUGCGAAGGCAGCAUACCGGCGCUCAACUGACGCUCAUGCACGAAAGCGUGGGUAUCGAACAGGAUUAGAUACCCGAGUAGUC
rnacentral:rRNA from 1 species